rnacentral:rRNA from 1 species
UACGAAGGGGGCUAGCGUUGCUCGGAAUCACUGGGCGUAAAGCGCACGUAGGCGGAUUGUUAAGUCAGGGGUGAAAUCCUGGAGCUCAACUCCAGAACUGCCUUUGAUACUGGCGAUCUCGAGUCCGGGAGAGGUGAGUGGAACUGCGAGUGUAGAGGUGAAAUUCGUAGAUAUUCGCAAGAACACCAGUGGCGAAGGCGGGUCUCUGGGCCGAUACGUGACGCUGAGGAGCGAAAGCGUGGGGAGCGAACAGG